rnacentral:lncRNA from 1 species
CCCAGAGCUCUCUCCCUCACCACCCUGGCCUGCUUGAUUCGGCCACAUCCUGGUCCAAGAUGGGGGGGGGCAGGAGACAAGAGAAAGGCCUCACGAGUACUUUGCUGGUGCUACCCGCCUUGACCCUCUGAGGUGGGCCUGGCUGCUUUUGGUGACCUUGGUCAAGGGUGGGAAGGGCUUGAGGGGCAAAGGCUGGAAGAAGGCCAGGCAGCUGCCUUUCCACCCCAUUUGGUCCAAGGGUACCGGCAUCAGCACAGGCAACUCCUUGCCUCCAGGGCCAUCUCUCCUCACAACUGGCCCUUUAUUCCAGCUGAGAGGUCCUACUGCUCCAGAUGUUGUCAGAUGGGGGCUCCCACAGGUGUUCGUGGGCAAGGGGGGCUGGGGUCCCCCCAAUACAAUCUCUUCCCCCUUGCUCAGGGGCGGCUUGAGAAUCGAGCCCGUCUGAUACAAGGAAGAUAGAGGCCGGAGCCAGGGCUGAGGCCCAAGUCUGCUGGGGGGGGGGGAACCCUCCGGCUUUUCCAUUCCCAACUCCCAGCCCCACCCCCCGGCCAGAGAAGCAAUGGCCAGGGCAGAGUCGGCCUUCCAAAAACCAUUGCUAACAGUUUUAUUUCUAACAAGAGGAAAAUAAUAAAAUAAAAUUAAAAGAGGCAACUUCGGGAAAGACGUGUUUCCUGUUGGUUGGUUUGCUUUGUUUGGUGGGGAGGAGGGGGGGCAGUUCCUUGGCUCCUUCCUCCCGGCGGCGGCGCUUUUCCCCUUCCCCCAUCCGACGCCAUCCUGGGGCAGCAGGGGAGGGACCAUGGGGGCGGGGGGCAGUCUGAUGGGGCCUAUGGGAGCAGCACCAAAGAAGCUUUCUUCCAAACCCCCCCCAAGUUUAAUCAUCAAAAAGAAAACCCCGAGAGGUGGCUGACCAUCAUUCUCUCCUCCUAGCCCCUCGGUGGGGAGUGGAGAGAAGGGGAAGAAGGGCAGGGAGCAUGGGGCGAGUGGAAGCCCAGCUGCGAGGUUGGGGGGCAAAAGCCCCGUGCCCCGAGCCAGCCCCGUGGCCCCUCUGCCCUUCUCCCCUCUGCCCCCCCACUCCUGGAAUGGUGCUGGCCAGGGCCAGAGGAAGACGGGAGUGGGCAGACCACGGGCCUGGCCGGCCAAGGGAAUGAAUGCUGGUAGGAGGCCCCCUCCAGGGAGAGGAGAGAGGACCAAGACCCCUAAAGGCCACCCUCAGGUGGGCGUGGCUGACAGCCCCCAGCUGUGGUGUCCCGUUCGCUCCCCCUCCCGAGGCAGGGGUGGACCGGCUGGGGAUGUGGGGACACAGGACUGGGCGCGUGUCCGGCUCCGAACUGUCACAACUGCUGUUGUUCUGAAUGACAGGGGGAGGCGGGCGGGGGGCCGCCGGUAGAGGGGCAGGUGGAAGCCCUGCCCCUGGCUCCGCCUCACUUCAGGCCUGCUCUGGCUCAGGAGAGGGCUGGAACCCCAUGUGCCCGGCCGGGGGAAGGUCCUCGUCCCGGCUCUGGGCCCUCGGCCUCCCCUUCCUCCUCCUCUUCCUCCUCCAGCAUCUCCUCUGCCUCGGUGGUCCAGGGGCCCCGGGCCCUCUUUGGCUCCAGCUCCUCCUGAGUCACAUCCC